rnacentral:rRNA from 1 species
UACGAAGGGGCUAGCGUUGCUCGGAAUCACUGGGCGUAAAGGGCGCGUAGGCGGGUUUUAAGUCAGGGUGAAAUCCUGGAGCUCAACUCCAGAACUGCCUUUGAUACUGAGAUCUUGAGUAUGGGAGAGGUGAGUGGAACUGCGAGUGUAGAGGUGAAAUUCGUAGAUAUUCGCAAGAACACCAGUGGCGAAGGCGGCUCACUG